CCCGACCGGUGCCCAUCCUUCCCAGGCUGGUAUUUAAACAAACAGGGACGGCAGUGGGGAAUGCCGGGAGUCGGAGUGAAGGCACGGAGAGGAGCGAGGAAGCAGCUGGAGUGGCCCAUUCUCAGCCAAGCUCCCGCCCCAUCUGAGUGGUUACCAAGCCUCCUGGGAGAGUCCCCUGUGCUUUCGGACACUGGGGCAAGAGCUCGCUCAGGUCUCCCACUCACAGCCCCUGAUAACCUCUCGUCCACUUCACGUUGCUAUGAUCUGACCACUCGAAGAACCUCAUGUCACUGGAAUGAUACAGUAUUUGUCUUUUGGGGGCUGCCUCUUCCACUUAGUGGAAGGAUUUCAAGGUUCAUCCAUGUUUUGACAUGUAUCAGAACUGCAUUCUUUUUCAUGGCUUUGCAUGUGCGAUUUAUUUUUGUAGUUAAAAAAUAGAUACUAGGCGUUCCCGUCGAGGUGCAGCCGAAAUGAAUCCAACUAGGAACCAUGAGGUUGUGGGUUCGAUCCCUGGCC